UACGUAGGGGGCAAGCGUUGUCCGGAUUUAUUGGGCGUAAAGAGCGUGUAGGCGGUUAGGUAGGUCCGUUGUGAAAACUCGAGGCUCAACCUCGAGACGCCGAUGGAAACCAUCUGACUAGAGUCCGGAAGAGGAGAGUGGAAUUCCUGGUGUAGCGGUGAAAUGCGCAGAUAUCAGGAAGAACACCCGUGGCUAAGGCGGCUCUCUAGUACGGCACUGACGCUGAGACGCGAAAGCGUGGGGAGCGAACAGG
rnacentral:rRNA from 1 species